UUUUUCAAACAACCACCUUUUUUCAUUUACCAUGUUAAUUAUACAAACCAGGUCCAUGGAGUUAAAAGGUUAUGAAUAGAAAAACAAAAAUACGACAGCAUUUCCAAUUUCGACCACCACCUGCCUAUACAUGGUUCAAAAAAGGUAGUAAUACUAUUAGUUACUUGAAUUUUGCCUUUAAUGAAAAAGCUUGUUCAGCCAAAACGAUAGAGUUGUGGAGAAUGAGAGGAGGCUUUGGAAUGCAUCUUUGAUAGGCUUCCACCACUUGUUUAGGCUGAUUUCAGUUCUCUGAGAGAAACACAUGAAAAAAUAGGGUGCUCUGCUGCUUGCAAAUAAUGGCAAGCUACACUGCCUCAAGAAAUAGUGCUUCACUCUUGGAAAAAGAGAGACAUACCUGGGAAUUUUGAGAAAUUAGGCAACAUUUGUGGAACACAUAAAAAAAUGAAAAUGACAGCAGCAAAGUUAUAAGUUCUUCAGCAAUGAACAAGUUCGUUUACUCUAAAUUUUCUUAGCCCUUUCGCCUAACUGUGGAUGGACUCCACCACAUAGGAGGCAAAUAUAAUAUAGGAAAACAUAAAUGGAAUUUGCUAAAAGCACCAAAUUUUGAUACUCCUCAUGUAUAAGACUGCUUAAAUAAUCUGAAACUUGACUAUCGAAUUGAGAUGCAGUGUAGAAUUUAGCACUUUCUUAAUUCCAUAACUUGUUUGUCAUAGCAUAGGAAUAUAGUCUCGAAGUUCUGCUCAUUCAGAGCCUCAAUUAGAAUUCAAGGAAAAUCAAUCAUGGAAAUCAUAAUUUUUAACAAAUACUAAAAGUAAUUGAGGUCAACUAACCAAAAAUACUAUGAUUGAAUAGUAAAAAUAUUUAUGAUGUAUAUAUAGCAAAAUUCUCUACGUGCAGUGAGAGGUUAUAAGUGAAAAAAAGCAACAAUUAAGUUUUGAUUGUUAGUACACAGUUUUGUGGUACUUAUUUUCCUUUCUGGGUAUGAAAGAGGCAAUGGGCAUACCAAAUCCUGCACAAAUAACAUAUAAACAUCAUGUCAGCAUCUUUCAACCAUAGUUUUUUUAUUUUUUUGUUAAAUGAAUCUUUCAGUUAUAGUUCUCCAUAAUUGAACACAAAAGAUGACCGCAACAUUCAAAUUUUAGAAGUUUUAUCAUUACAAACAUAAAUACCUAGCUAAUUACAAGCUGAUGCUGGAAAAAGAUCAAAAGUACCAAGGCCAACAAAGAGAAGAUCAGACAGUGAAUCUACAAUGCACCAGCAAGUGUAAAGGAAAUAAUAGGCACGGUUAAAAGUACUUCCAGGACCGGAGUAUCCAUAUUCUUUUAGAAUGGUAUAAUAACUCAAUCAUCGACCAGUAUGCAUUCCCCCUCAGAUCUCCAAACUUUGAGACCUCUAAGAGAACUAUGUCCUUUGAGGCAAUGCUGGCUAAAUUUGUGCAUAAUCAAAAAAGAAUCAAAGGCAGCAAUGGAUGCACUUGAGCGCAUGUUUUUGCCAACAAAUUGCUCAAUUAUAACUGAUUCUCUUUGAAGCCCAUGAGUUUGUCAAAUACAACAAUUAUCUUUACAUCUUCAACACAGGCUUCCGAAGGCCAUGAGGAUGAUGCUCAUAUUUCUUCCAAGAGUUGUGCUAAGACGAUAUCGGAGAACAAUAAAAUCAUAGAGGCAACAUUUAGAAAAGAGAAAAACCAGGCAAAAGACACAAAUGGAACACGUGUCAACUACUAAGCUAUUUUGAAGAGCACUGAAAAUUCUUGAUUCGCGCAUCACAACUCUUAUUAUGAGAAUCCAUCCUAUUUUCGAAUUAUUUUCGAAUUAAUUUUUAUAGAUGUUGCUGUCCUGCAGUAACGACCACUAUAAUAGAAGAAGCUAUAAUAAUCACCAAACUAAUUUUUCUGAACUAUAUAAAAGCACCAAAAGUAUAGUUGGCAGCAAAGGAACGGGUUACUGCAGGUUCUAUCUACUUCUGUUCAUCAUAUUCACCAGUUCUUAACAACCACGACAUCUGUAACAAUAAUCUACAGACCCUUAAUUUGAAAAGAAAGUUGCUUUUGACCUCCGGUGUUUUCAAUCAUCUGCUGAGAUUUCUCUUGAACAUCCAAGACUAAUUGGUCAUUAAAGAACAUAGAUGAUACUCUUAUGUAAUAAAAUUAAUAGCAGACACAUGCAACUUGGUAUCGUCUGUGAAAAUGAGCAAAUAAGUAGCAUACAUAAAGUUAGGAAGUUUUAAAUAAACAAGGAAGUUUGUUGAACUUCAUGUACUCUAUUGAUAAAGCAGACAUUUUUAACCCUGAUGCAGCAUCUAACUGUCAGAUUAAACUAAAAAAGAGAGCUCAUAUACUUGUAAGAUAGUACUAACAAAUAACAAACUUCCUGCAUAACCCAUUUUUUCGAUCAUUCCCUUUAAAACUUGACAUAGUGUUGGUCUGGCCUGAAGAAGUCGACAUUUGUCUUUUCAGUAAUUGGAUAUUUAUUUUGGAAAGCUUCCCUAAGAGACUGUCUCCUAGUUAAAAAAUAAAUGAAUCUACACUUACAAAUAAUAAUAAGUAGAAGCAGCCAAGUUCCAUCUCCCAUGCAUGCUGAAAGAAACAACAAAAAGAACCAACAAAAAAAGGACAGAUAUCAUAUCUGAUUCAAAUGUCAAACAUUUCCUAAAGUUUGAGGGAAAGACAUUGUAUCCGAUUUCCAGUGGAAGGGUAAACUGUCUUUGUUUAGAAUCACUUCCCUUCAACUUUCACUAAUGAAAGUUCCUUGCAAAAUCAUCAAAAUCGAUUAAAUUCACCCAUGUAAUUUCUAGUAGUCAACUAAAAUCGGAAGAGGGUACCAAAAUGCCUUUGUUGCUACAAUUGAUUAAGGUCCAUCCAAGCUAACUAAACGGGUCUAGUUUUCUGUUUCAGUGAAAUUUUGUUAGGAGAGUCUUCACUAAUUACUCUACAUGAAGCAAAUACCCCUUUAAGCAAACUGACACAAGAAAGGAAGGAUGUAUGACAUCCACAACGUCGUUAUCUUUAAACCCCCCAAAAUCAGAAACAAAAAAACAUGCACCUAAGUAUUUCUUUCCAAAUAUACAUAUCAAAAUAAUAUGAAAUUCCAAACAUGCAUGUACAAAAUGUAGUAAAAAUUAUUCAAAAACAAUAGAAAAAUCAACAUCGAACAAAAAAUGGACAUAAUUUUCAAAGAAAUUCAAAAGAGAAAGUCAGAACACGGGCCAAGAAAGAAAGAACAGGGGAGAAAACUUACCAGACUUAAAACACAUUAGAGGCUAGAAGAUUGUAGCAAACAGAAUGUAAAAUCAGAAAAAGUCAAAAUGUAUGAAAGAAUUUUGAAAAAAAAAACCCAGAGGAAUUUAAAAACUCACCUUGAACUGUUGAAUAAGUAAGAAGGUUGGGGUGAACAUUGAAAGAGAGAGAAUUAGAGGGGUGAAUAGAUGGAAAAAUAUAGAAAUACAGUGUAUCUGAAAUAGUGAAAUCCAUGUGGCUUGCUAAAGCAAAAAGUGUAAUCCACGUGCUAAUUCGCCAAUAAGGUAGGCCCAAAUAUAUAGUACCAUUUACAGUGCCUUUUGUACAGCUAAAGAAUGCAAUGUUCGUACACCUAAACUGCCACUUCUAAAUUAUACUAGCAGGGCUUGCCCGUGCAUCGCAACGGGCCCA
rnacentral:lncRNA from 1 species